UAGGUGGCAAGGGUUGUCCGGGAUUUAUUGGGCCGUAAAGCGAGCGCAGGCGGAAGAAUAAGUCUGAUGUGAAAGCCCUCGGCUUAACCGAGGAACUGCAUCGGAAACUGUUUUUCUUGAGUGCAGAAGAGGAGAGUGGAACUCCAUGUGUAGCGGUGGAAUGCGUAGAUAUAUGGAAGAACACCAGUGGCGAAGGCGACUCUCUGGUCUGCAACUGACGCUGAGGCUCGAAAGCAUGGGUAGCGAACAGGAUUAGAUACCCUGGUAGUCCAUGCCGUAAACGAUGAGUGCUAAGUGUUGGGAGGUUUCCGCCUCUCAGUGCUGCAGCUAACGCAUUAAGCACUCCGCCUGGGGAGUACGACCGCAAGGUUGAAACUCAAAGGAAUUGACGGGGGCCCGCACAAGCGGUGGAGCAUGUGGUUUAAUUCGAAGCAACGCGAAGAACCUUACCAGGUCUUGACAUCUAGUGCCAUCCUAAGAGAUUAGGAGUUCCCUUCGGGGACGCUAAGACAGGUGGUGCAUGGCUGUCGUCAGCUCGUGUCGUGAGAUGUUGGGUUAAGUCCCGCAACGAGCGCAACCCUUGUUAUUAGUUGCCAGCAUUAAGUUGGGCACUCUAAUGAGACUGCCGGUGACAAACCGGAGGAAGGUGGGGAUGACGUCAAGUCAUCAUGCCCCUUAUGACCUGGGCUACACACGUGCUACAAUGGACAGUACAACGAGAAGCGAGCCUGCGAAGGCAAGCGAAUCUCUGAAAGCUGUUCUCAGUUCGGACUGCAGUCUGCAACUCGACUGCACGAAGCUGGAAUCGCUAGUAAUCGCGGAUCAGAACGCCGCGGUGAAUACGUUCCCGGGCCUUGUACACACCGCCCGUCACACCAUGGAAGUCUGCAAUGCCCAAAGCCGGUGGCCUAACCUUCGGGAAGGAGCCGUCUAAGGCAGGGCAGAUGACUGGGGUGAAGU
rnacentral:rRNA from 1 species